rnacentral:lncRNA from 1 species
CGGUCCCUCAGGGAAUGGCUGUCUUUGUGUGUCCUGAGUCCUGAGAGGAGAGGCCCUUGGUCUGUUUUCUUAAACCGGUGACUCCUGUAUCCUGUCAUGGUAUUCAAAUGAUGAAACAAAACACCCAUUCUCCUGCCCGGUUUAGGACAGCAAGUGUACGAAGUAGAAAGUAUGUACAGUAUAACUCCUUCCACACUCAGCCUAUGCCAAUCAACAUUCUGCUUUCUAUACGAUGACCAAUUCCCCGAACCCAACCUUUAUUCAUGCGUAGCAUAACAGAUAGGUAUAGAAUAGAAGGUAUGUGGUCCACUGUACAACUCCGCAGAGCCACAGGCAAUAGAAUUCACAAUGCCGCUUUCCCUAUGAUGACAAAUUCCCCAAACCAAACUUUUACACCAUGUGAGAGUGUGAGGUUUAACCCUAACUCAGGAGACGAUAGAGGAAGAUAACAAGUAAACAAAGUGUGUUUGUGUUUGUGAAAGAUGCAGACCAGGAUCUUAAGCACAACAAAUGUGUAACAUAUUGCACAAAUUGGAUUCCUAGCAUAUCACACAAAUUACAAAAUGUGUAUGAUACUGUAUCAUACAAAUGGCAAACAUUUGUAACAUAUUACACAAAAUGAAUGACAUGGUACACAUUUGGAUGACGUAGUACACAAAAAACGCGGACCACUUUGGCUUGUGAGCACCACUUUCAAAACUACUGGCUGAAAUUAUACAAAAGUUUGAGAAUGCAUCUUUAAUGAUUCAUGGAUCAGCUAUGAGCCAGGGUCAGGGUAAAAGAGAGGAAGCUUUUUGUCACCGUGGGCUGUAAUAUACAGUAGGUUGUGUCCCAAAUGGCACCCUAUUCCCCAUGUAGUGCACUACUUUUGACCAGGGACUAUAUACACUAUAUUGGAAAUAGUGUGCCAUAUGGGAUGAAGCCAUAGCCCUCUCUUGGCCAUCAGACAUAAUUACAUAAUAUUGAAGACAUAAUACCCAAAGCCAAGAAACAAGACCACUGCAGUGCACUGCACCAGCCUUUUUCAAAGAGACUCGAAAUCUUUGACAAGACAAUGCAUUUUGGAGGGUGGAGCUAUAAUGAGGAAUUAGAUCUAGCAGGGUAGGAGAAUCUACUGAAGGCUUUGCAGAGCUAUUUAAAAGAG